AUUGAACGCUGGCGGCAGGCCUAACACAUGCAAGUCGAGCGAGCGGCGGACAGGUGCGUAAGGUAUGGGGAAUGCCCGUAAGAGGGGGAUAACUGCUGGAAACGGUUGCUAAUACCGCAUACUGUCGGAUACGCCAUAUGGGAUUAGCUGGUAGGUAAGGUAAUGGCUUACCUAGGCGACGAUCCCUAGCUGGUCUGAGAGGAUGAUCGGCCACACUGGGACUGAGACACGGCCCAGACUCCUACGGAGGCAGCAGUGGGGAAUCUUGCACAAUGGGCGCAAGCCUGAUGCAGCCAUGCCGUGUGUAUGAAGAAGGCCCUAGGGUUGUAAAGUACUUUCAGUCGGGAGGCGUUACCGACAGAAGAAGCACCGGCUAACUCCGUGCCAGCAGCCGCGGUAAUUC
rnacentral:rRNA from 1 species